rnacentral:rRNA from 1 species
UAUCUCUGUAGAGUCUGCAUAUCAAUAAGCGGAGGAAAAGAAACUAACAAGGAUUCCCUUAGUAACGGCGAGUGAAGCGGGAAGAGCUCAAAUUUGAAAUCUUCAAGGUUUUACCUUGACGAAUUGUAGUUUAAAGAAGUGUUUUUCUGUUGGAGUUUUGGUAAAAGUUCUUUGGAAUAGGACAUCAUAGAGGGUGAGAAUCCCGUAUUUGACCAUUAUUUCCAACUUUGUGAUACACUUUCAAAGAGUCGGAUUGUUUAGGAAUGCAGUCCAAAAUGGGUGGUAAAUUUCAUCUAAAGCUAAAUACUGGCGAGAGACCGAUAGCGAACAAGUACCGUGAGGGAAAGAUGAAAAGAACUUUGGAAAGAGAGUUAAACAGUACGUGAAAUUGUCAAAAGGGAAGCGUUUGACACCAGUGUUGUUUUCUCGAAAAUCAAUUAAAAAUGGCGGGAUUUUGUGUUGUAUUGACUUUAUCAGCUUUCUGCACUUUUUUUCUUGUCUUUUUUUAAUGCACUUUUCGUUUAACAAGUCAACAUCAAUUUCUUUUGUUGUAAAAGGGUCAUUGGAAGGUGGCUUUCUUUUCGGAGAAAGUGUUUAUAGCCUUUGACUUCUGCAAUCGGAGAGAUUGAGGUCUGCAGCGUAGAUCCUUCGGGGUUAGAUGCAUUUGUGCUAAGUUAUAGCCUUUCAUAGACAACUUGUUGACUAUGAUCAGUCAUGUAGCUUACUCGCUUAUGUCUAUUUUACCUACGCUUAGGAUGUUGAUCUCUCACAGUCGAGC